GCUGCCGGAUGAGCAAAGCGGACAGACCCGGCUGCAUCGGCUCCUCGGUGCGCGGCCCAGCACCUGCUGCCCUCGCCCGGCCCGGGGCGCCGCUGCCAUGCGGCUGGCGCUGCUCUGGGCCCUGGGGCUAUUGGGCGCGGGCAGCCCUCCGUCCUCCCGGCCACUCCCAGAUAUUGGUGGCACUGAGGAGGAGCAGGCAAGGCCAGAGAGGACCUUAAGUGGGUCCCUGGAGCCCCAGAUCCUUCAGGACAACUUCACACUCAGCCUAGCGGAGGUGCUUCAGACCAACCUGCCCGAGGCUUUGCGGAUCAAAUUGGAAUUGGAUGGUGAGAGUCAUAUCCUGGAGCUGCUACAGAAUAGGGAUCUAGUCCCAGGCCGCCCAACGCUGGUAUGGUACCAACCUGAUGGCACCCGUGUGGUCAGUAAGGGACACACUCUGGAGAACUGCUGCUACCAGGGAGGAGUACAGGGCCACGCAGACUCACAGGUCUCCAUCUGCACCUGCUCUGGGCUCAGGGGCUUGGUGAUCCUGUCCCCACAAAGAAGCUACACCCUGGAGCUGGGGCCUGGGGACCUUCAGGGUAACCCCGUUGUCUCCCGGAUCCAAGACCUCCUUCUGCCAGGCCACACUUGUGCCCUGAGCUGGCGUGCCUCUGUGCCCACUCAGGUUCCUCCCGAGCACCUCCUGGGAGAGCACCACACCCGCCGGUGGAGGCGGGAUGUGGUGACAGAGACCAAGGUUGUUGAGCUGGUGAUUGUGGCUGAUCAUUCCGAGGUCCGGAGGUACCCAGACUUCCAGCACCUGCUGAACAGAACGCUGGAAGUGGCCCUUCUCCUGGACACAUUUUUCCGGCCCCUGAAUGUACGGGUGGUGCUAGUAGGCCUGGAGGCCUGGACCCAGCAUGACCUGAUGGAGAUAAGCCAGGACCCAGGUCUCACGCUAAGCAACUUCCUCCGCUGGCGCCGGGCAGACUUGCUGCCUCGAUUGCCCCACGACAGUGCCCAGCUGGUGACGGCUACUUCAUUCUCUGGGCCCAGGGUGGGCAUGGCCAUUCAAAACUCCAUCUGUUCUCCUGACUUCUCAGGAGGUGUGAACAUGGACCAUUCCACAAGUAUCCUGGGAGUUGCCUCCUCAAUAGCCCAUGAGUUGGGCCACAGUCUGGGCUUGGACCACAACUCACCUGGGAACAGCUGCCCCUGUCCAGGUCCAGCCCCAGCCAAGAGCUGCAUCAUGGAGGCCUCCACAGACUUCCUACCAGGCCUGAACUUCAGCAACUGCAGCCGACAGGCCCUGGAGAAAGCCCUCCUGGAUGGGAUGGGCAGCUGCCUCUUUGAACGGCUGCCCGGCCUGCCCUCUAUGGCCGCUGUCUGUGGAAACAGGCUUGUGGAGCCCGGCGAGCAGUGUGACUGUGGCUUCCCGGAUGACUGCACUGAUCCGUGCUGUGAUUACUUCACCUGCCAGCUGAGGCCAGGGGCACAGUGUGCAUCUGACGGACUCUGUUGUCAAAAUUGCCAGCUGCGCCCGGCUGGCUGGCAGUGCCGCCCUACCAGAGGGGACUGUGACUUACCCGAGUUCUGCCCAGGAGACAGCUCCCAGUGCCCCCCUGAUGUCAGCCUGGGGGACGGCGAGCCAUGUGCUGGUGGACAGGCUGUAUGCAUGCAAGGGCGCUGCGCCUCCUACGCCCAACAGUGCCAGGCUCUCUGGGGACCUGGGGCCCAGCCCGCCACACCACUUUGCCUCCUUACUGCCAACACCCGGGGGGACGCCUUUGGGAGCUGUGGACGCAGCCCUAAUGGCAGCUAUGUGUCCUGUGCCCCUAGAGAUGCCAUGUGUGGGCAACUCCAGUGUCAGGGGGGUAGGGCCCAGCCGCUGCUGGGCUCAGCCCAGGAUCUGCACUGGGAGAUGCUGGAAGCCAAUGGGACCAGGCUGAAGCUGAACUGCAGCUGGGUACGCCUGGACCUGGGCAACGAUGUGGCCCAGCCCCUCCUGACUCUGCCUGGCACAGCCUGUGGCCCUGGUCUGGUAUGCAUCAACCAUCAGUGCCAGCCCGUGGAUCUCCUGGGAGCACAGGAAUGUCGAAGCAAAUGCCAUGGGCAUGGGGUCUGCAACAGCAAUAGACACUGCCACUGUGAGGAGGGCUGGGCGCCCCCUGACUGUACCACCCACAUCAGAGCAACCAGCUCCCUGACCACAGGGCUGCCCCUCAGCCUCCUGUUGUUGGUCAUCCUGAUACUGCUUGGUGCCAGCUACUGGCACCGUGCACGCCUGCGCCAGCGACUCUGCCAACUCAAGGGACCCAGCUGCCAAUACAGGGCAGCCCAGUCUGGUCCCCCAGAACACCCAGGACCCCCGCAGAGGGCCCUGCUAAUGCCAGGUGUCAAGCGCCCCCCUCCAGGCCGCUGCCUCCUGACCCAGUGCCCAAGAGACUCCAGGCUGAGCUGGCUGACCGACCCAAUCCCCCCACCCGCCCUCUGCCCGCUGACCCGGUGGUGAGACGCCCGAAGGUAACAGUGGGGGAGAGAAGGGCACAGCCUCUCCCCCCACCCAGGGCUGUGGUGCUGGUAGCCAUGGCGGUGGUGGCCUUGGCGAGAUACCUUCUCUGUGCCUGAGGGGCACGUACCCCAAUGGCAUCUUUAAUGGUGACAGGUUUGGAGACAAAGGUGACCUCUGAUGCUACUCCUGGCAAUCUGGUGUUCUCCAACACCAGUGAGUCGGGAGUGGGCAACAUGACAUCCCCUCCCAAGCCAGCCUCCUGCCUUCUUUCUCUCAGUCCCAGGGGCCUGCCAAGCCCCUACCCCCGAGGAAGCCACUACCUGCCAAUCCCCAGGACCGGCGACAUUUGGGUGACCUGCCUGGCCCAGAAGCAGGAAUCCCGCCCCUAGUGGUACCCUCCAGGCCUGCGCCGCCGCCGCCAGCAGUGUCCUCCUCACUCUACCUCUGACCUCUCCUGAGGUUCCGCUGCCUCCAACCCGGAUUUAGGACUCAAAGAUGGACACGCCCCCGUAAGUCUCCCGCAGUGACUGAGGGAGCUGGAGUCUGGACGCUACGGAACAGGCAUCCUAAGACACCCAGCACCUCCGUGCGCAGUUCCAGCAGCAAGCGCCCUGGGGACCCAGCCAUGCAGUUGUCGCAGAGGUUUGGGGAGGGACUGGGCACUGAAUGGAGCUGACGGAGGUGCACAGCCUGUCUCUGCUCAGUGACAAUAAACUUUAGACCUUGGGGGACGUGCCUCCUUCGGAGUUUGUCGGCUCAGGGAAAGGUGACACUGCUGCGGUUCCAGGUAUGGCCGCUAGGAGACGCUGUCGCCUCAGACGCAGACGGGAUGAGGGAGGGCGACAGUCUCACGCUGGGUCAGCGCGUGUUCGCGGGAUGCUCAAGGCUUCUUUCUACCCAGUCCGGAAUAGCUCUCUGCGCAAUCCAGUAUCACGGAGAGUUGUACGCCCUUUGCCACCCCCAAUCGCCAAGAACUCGCCUCCAAACACUGUGCAGCCCCUGGAGGCAUCUAUGAACAAACCGGACAAACAGCUGGACUCGACGUCCUCACCCUCUGACCAGUGUCUGGAAAAAGUGGAUCUUAGCUGGUGUUCUCGGAGCCCUGGAGCCGAGGCGGAGCAGGGCGGCGGCUCCCACGAUCCCUAGACCGCGCACCUGCCUCCUCCUCCUCCCCCCCCCGCCCCCACCUGAGGGCUUGGGAACAAAGGUGCUUUGUACAAGCUGCGACCAUCUCAUUACUUGUCUUCGGGGCUGGGGCCCAUGGGCCCCAGCCCAGAAGGAUGGUGCGGGGCGGAAAAGGACAGGUGGACAUCGAGCUCGCCACCUAAAGCUCUGUAAGCGGACGAGGGCGGUGGAGGGUUUCCAAGCGGCGAUUUUUCCCUUCCCCUCGCGCUAUCCCUAGAUGAGCAAAGAAAAAAGCCAUCUGCUAAGGUGGCUGGACAGGC